rnacentral:RNase_P_RNA from 2 species
GGAGAGCGCCAGAUGAUCGUCGGCUCGUUCCGUUUCGGCGGUAGCGGGCGGGAGGAAAGUCCGGGCUCCGCAGGGCGGGAUGGUUCUUAACGGGAACCGGGGGUGACCCCAGGGACAGUGCCACAGAAAGCAAACCGCCUGUCGAAGUCGAGGCUUGGGCAGGUAAGGGUGAAACGGUGAGGUAAGAGCUCACCAGUUCCGACGGCGACGCCGGAAGCUAGGUAAACCCCAUCCGGAGCAAGGCCAAAUAGGGAAGUGUUUGAGGGCGGCCCGUCCGAGACUUCCGGGUUGGUUGCUUGAGGCCGUCGGCAACGGCGGUCCUAGAGGAAUGAUCAUCGCCCUCCGUGCGGGUAACCGGCGGGGGGAACAGGACCCGGCUUACGGUUCUCUCCGGCC